CACGCGGCUCCCUGGUUGAUCCUGCCAGUAGUCAUAUGCUUGUCUCAAAGCUUAAGCCAUGCAAGUCUAAGUGCAAGCUGAAUUAAAGUGAAACUGCGAAAAGCUCAUUAAAUCAGUUAUGGUUCACUAGAACACGCUCGAUUGUGGAUAACUGUGGUAAUUCUAGAGCUAAUACAUGCACUCAAGUCCUGUCCAGUGAUGGAAGGGACGCUUUUAUUAGAUCAAAACCAAUCGGUCCGGCUUCGGUCGGUCCGUUGUUCUUGAUGACUCUGAAUAACCACGCCAAUCGUACGGUCAUUGCGCCGACGAUGUAUCUUUCAAAUGCCUGACUUAUCAACUGUCGAUGGUAGAUUUUAUGUCUACCAUGGUUGUAACGGGUGACGGGGAAUCAGGGUUCGAUUCCGGAGAGGGAGCCUGAGAAACAGCUACCACAUCCAAGGAAGGCAGCAGGCACGCAAAUUACCCACUCCCGACACGGGGAGGUAGUGACAAAAAAUAACGAUACGGGACUCAUCCGAGGCCCCGUAAUCGGAAUGAGUACACUUUAAAUCCUUUAACGAGGAUCAAUUGGAGGGCAAGUCUGGUGCCAGCAGCCGCGGUAAUUCCAGCUCCAAUAGCGUAUAUUAAAGUUGUUGCGGUUAAAAAGCUCGUAGUUGGUUCUGUGUGCCACGCUGUCGGUUCACCGCCUGACGGUGCAACUGGCAUGCCGUGGGACGUCUUGCCGGAGAGAGUCCGGCUCGCUGUGGAACGCAGGGUGACCCCCUGCGCCCGCUUCUGGGCUUGGCUCUCGAUCCAUGAUGCCGCGGUGCUCUUUGUUGAGUGUCGCGGCAUGCCGGCAAGUUUACUUUGAACAAAUUAGAGUGCUUAAAGCAGGCUUGUAUCGCCUGAAUAGUGGUGCAUGGAAUAAUGGAAUAGGACCUUGGUUCUAUUUUGUUGGUUUUCGGAAUUCAAGGUAAUGAUCAAUAUGGACAGUCGGGGGCAUUCGUAUUGCGACGUUAGAGGUGAAAUUCUUGGAUCGUCGCAAGACGAACUAGAGCGAAAGCAUUUGCCAAGUAUGUCUUACUUGAUCAAGAACGAAAGUUAGAGGUUCGAAGGCGAUCAGAUACCGCCCUAGUUCUAACCAUAAACGAUGUCGACCAGCAAUCCGCCAAUGUUCCUCCGAUGACUUGGCGGGCAACUCCCGGGAAACCAAAGUUUUUGGGUUCCGGGGGAAGUAUGGUUGCAAAGCUGAAACUUAAAGGAAUUGACGGAAGGGCACCACCAGGAGUGGAGCGUGCGGCUUAAUUUGACUCAACACGGGAAACCUCAC
rnacentral:rRNA from 1 species